ACAUGGCUCAGGAUGAACGCUAGCGGCAGGCUUAACACAUGCAAGUCGAGGGGCAGCGAAUCUAGCUUGCUAGAUGUCGGCGACCGGCGAACGGGUGCGUAACGCGUAUAGAAUCUGCCUUGUACAGGAGGAUAGCCUUUAGAAAUGAAGAUUAAUACUCCAUAAUGUUUAGAGGUGGCAUCAUUUUUAAAUUAAAGAUUUAUUGGUACAAGAUGACUAUGCGUCCUAUUAGCUAGAUGGUAAGGUAACGGCUUACCAUGGCAACGAUAGGUAGGGGGUCUGAGAGGAUUAUCCCCCACACUGGUACUGAGACACGGACCAGACUCCUACGGGAGGCAGCAGUGAGGAAUAUUGGUCAAUGGAGGCAACUCUGAACCAGCCAUGCCGCGUGCAGGAAGACUGCCCUAUGGGUUGUAAACUGCUUUUAUACAGGAAGAAACAGAACUACGUGUAGUUCCUUGCGGUCACUGU
rnacentral:rRNA from 2 species